rnacentral:misc_RNA from 1 species
GAUGAAGAACGUAGCGAAAUGCGAUAACUAAUGUGAAUUGCAGAAUUCAGUGAAUCAUCGAGUCUUUGAACGCACAUUGCGCCCCCUGGUAUUCCGGGGGGCAUGCCUGUCCGAGCGUCAUUGCUGCCCUCAAGCACGGCUUGUGUGUUGGGCUCCGUCCCCCCGGGGACGGGUCCGAAAGGCAGCGGCGGCACCGAGUCCGGUCCUCGAGCGUAUGGGGCUUUGUCACCCGCUCUGUAGGCCCGGCCGGCGCCAGCCGACAACCAAUCAUCCUUUUUUCAGGUUGACCUCGGAUCAGGUAGGGAUACCCGCUGAACUUAAGAAUAUCAAUAAGCGGAGGA